rnacentral:rRNA from 1 species
UGGCGAACGGGUGAGUAACGCGUGAGGAACCUGCCCCAAAGAGGGGGACAACAGUUGGAAACGACUGCUAAUACCGCAUAAGCCCACGGGUCGGCAUCGACCUGAGGGAAAAGGAGCAAUCCGCUUUGAGAUGGCCUCGCGUCCGAUUAGCUAGUUGGUGAGGUAACGGCCCACCAAGGCGACGAUCGGUAGCCGGGCUGAGAGGUUGAACGGCCACAUUGGGACUGAGACACGGCCCAG